rnacentral:rRNA from 1 species
AUACGGAGGGGGCUAGCGUUGUUCGGAAUUACUGGGCGUAAAGCGUACGUAGGCGGACUGAUCAGUUGGGGGUGAAAUCCCAGGGCUUAACCCUGGAACUGCCUUCAAUACUGUCAGUCUUGAGAUUGGAAGAGGUGAGUGGAAUUCCUAGUGUAGAGGUGAAAUUCAUAGAUAUUAGGAGGAACACCAGUGGCGAAGGCGGCUCACUGGUCCAAUACUGACGCUGAGGUACGAAAGCGUGGGGAGCAAACAGGAUUAGAAACCCGAGUAGUCC